rnacentral:tRNA from 1 species
CCCUGGUUAGCUCAGUUGGUAGAGCGCUCCACCAGUAAUGGAGAGGUCCCGGGUUCGAUACCCGGACCAGGCG